GUGCUCGCUUCGGCAGCACAUAUACUAAAAUUGGAACGAUACAGAGGAGAUUAGCAUGGCCCCUGUGCAAGGAUGACACCCAAGAAAUGCUUAUAUACUAAUAUUC
rnacentral:snRNA from 1 species